AUACUUACCUGGCAGGGGAGACACCAUGAUCAGGCAGGUGGUUUUCCCAGGGCAAGGCUCAUCUGCUGCACUCCGCGUGUGCUGACCCCUGCGAUUUCCCCAAAUGUGGGAAACUCGACUGCAUAAUUUGUGGUAGUGAGGGACUGCGUUCAUGCUGUUCCCCG
rnacentral:snRNA from 1 species